CCUGUUGCUGAAGCUUCAAAAGCUGCUGCUGUUUCUCUUGCAGCACCUGUAGCUGUUGCUCGGCUGAAGCCAUUGCAUGAGAGAGAGACUGCAAAGCUACCUGGGCUGCUGAACUCAGGGCUGUCGAGGCUUCCCCAACUGUCCCAGAUGAUAGUCCACCUACUGCAGGAGUAACCCCGAAGGAACUCACUGUAAACGUACUUGCAUCAUCCCUUUCUAUUCUGGUUCCAUCACUAGUUGACACACAAGUAAAGUGCAGAGGUUCAACUUCCAAAAGUCCAGUGAGAGAUGUGAAACUACCCUCAGCAGCUGUGCAACUACUGACCUUUCCAUUUCCUAAUGGCAAAAGACAAGUUUUAUAACACGUGAAGAUAAUUUUUAAAAAGCAAUAGUCACAACAAUAAUU
rnacentral:lncRNA from 1 species